UACGAAGGGGGCUAGCGUUGCUCGGAAUCACUGGGCGUAAAGCGCACGUAGGCGGACUCUUAAGUCGGUGGUGAAAUCCUGGAGCUCAACUCCAGAACUGCCUUCGAUACUGAGAGUCUCGAGUCCGAGAGAGGUGAGUGGAACUGCGAGUGUAGAGGUGAAAUUCGUAGAUAUUCGCAAGAACACCAGUGGCUAAGGCGGCUCACUGGCUCGGUACUGACGCUGAGGUGCGAAAGCGUGGGGAGCAAACAGG
rnacentral:rRNA from 1 species